rnacentral:rRNA from 1 species
GACGAACGCUGGCGGCGUGCUUAACACAUGCAAGUCGAACGGAAAGGCCCUGCUUUUGUGGGGUGCUCGAGUGGCGAACGGGUGAGUAACACGUGAGUAACCUGCCCUUGACUUUGGGAUAACUUCAGGAAACUGGGGCUAAUACCGGAUAGGAGCUCCUGCUGCAUGGUGGGGGUUGGAAAGUUUCGGCGGUUGGGGAUGGACUCGCGGCUUAUCAGCUUGUUGGUGGGGUAGUGGCUUACCAAGGCUUUGACGGGUAGCCGGCCUGAGAGGGUGACCGGCGACAAUGGGAGAGAGAGACGGGGCAGAGUCCUCCGGGAGAGAGCAGUGGGGGAUAUAGCGCACUGGGCGCGGGAGUGAGACAGCGCAGCCGCGUGCGGGAUAAGGGGCCUCUCGGGGUGAAACGCGCUUUCGCGUGUGGAGGAGUGUGAGUGAGGAAAAGGUGUAAAGAAACACGGGAUAAAUGCG